rnacentral:rRNA from 1 species
AGUGAACGCUGGCGGUAGGCCUAACACAUGCAAGUCGAACGGCAGCACAGUAAGAGCUUGCUCUUACGGGUGGCGAGUGGCGGACGGGUGAGGAAUACAUCGGAAUCUACUUUUUCGUGGGGGAUAACGUAGGGAAACUUACGCUAAUACCGCAUACGACCUACGGGUGAAAGCAGGGGAUCUUCGGACCUUGCGCGAUUGAAUGAGCCGAUGUCGGAUUAGCUAGUUGGCGGGGUAAAGGCCCACCAAGGCGACGAUCCGUAGCUGGUCUGAGAGGAUGAUCAGCCACACUGGAACUGAGACACGGUCCAGACUCCUACGGGAGGCAGCAGUGGGGAAUAUUGAACAAUGGGCGCAAGCCUGAUCCAGCCAUACCGCGUGGGUGAAGAAGGCCUUCGGGUUGUAAAGCCCUUCUGUUGGGAAAGAAAAGCAGCAGGUUAAUACCCCGCUGUUCUGACGGUACCCAAAGAAUAAGCACCGGCUAACUUCGUG